UACGUAGGGGGCAAGCGUUGUCCGGAAUUAUUGGGCGUAAAGAGCGUGUAGGCGGUCCGGUAAGUCAGCUGUGAAAGUCAAGGGCUCAACCCUUGAAAGCCGGUUGAUACUGUCGGGCUAGAGUCCGGAAGAGGCGAGUGGAAUUCCCGGUGUAGCGGUGAAAUGCGCAGAUAUCGGGAGGAACACCAAUGGCGAAGGCAGCUCGCUGGGACGGUACUGACGCUGAGACGCGAAAGCGUGGGGAGCAAACAAG
rnacentral:rRNA from 1 species